GCCCAAAAGUUAACAGUAAAAGUGAGGAGAAGAGGAGUAUGAUCGGAUGUGGUUCUUACCAGGGGAGCAUGAUUAGUCUGAGGAAACUGGUUGUGCCAUUCCUCUGAGAUGAAGUAUCUAUCUAGUUUUGCCAAGCUGGCCUCUUCUCGAAAAUUUGUCCAGAUAGAUUUUUUGUUUGGAGCAUUGAACUCAAUCAGUUAUAACCAGUUAAUACAGGUGUUGAAUUCUUUAGAUGCUGCUCGACUGCUAGUAGCUCCCAUCCUUUCAUAGCUGUAGCGAGUUAUGUUAAAAUCACCCAAUAUCACCCAGAGACCAU
rnacentral:lncRNA from 1 species